rnacentral:rRNA from 1 species
GAUGAACGCUGACAGAAUGCUUAACACAUGCAAGUCUUUGGCGAAGCUGUGCUUGCACAGCCUAGCCAAGGCGGACGGGUGAGUAACGCGUAAGGAACUUGCCCUGCAGUCAGGGAUAACAGACGGAAACGACUGAUAAGACCUGGUAAAGUCAGGCGGACUCAUGUCCAGCCUGAUGAAAAGAGAUGCUGCAGGAGAGCCUUGCGUCCUAUUAGCUUGUUGGUGGGGUAACGGCCCACCAAGGCGAUGAUAGGUAGCCGGCCUGAGAGGGUGGACGGCCACAAGGGGACUGAGAUACGGCCCUUACUCCUACGGGAGGCAGCAGUGGGGAAUAUUGGACAAUGGGGGCAACCCUGAUCCAGCAAUUCUGUGUGCACGAUGAAGGUUUUCGGAUUAUAAAGUGCUUUCAGCAGGGAAGAAAAAAAUGACGGUACCUGCAGAAGAAGCGACGGCUAAAUACGUG